GGAGUGGGUGGAUUCGGCAAGGUGUACAAGGGUGAGACUGAUGAUGGGUCGAAAGUGGCGGUGAAGCGGGGAAACCCCAGGUCAGAGCAGGGUCUAAACGAGUUCCAAACCGAGAUAGAGCUUCUGUCGAAACUCCGACAUCGGCACCUGGUGUCACUGAUAGGGUACUGCGAGGAACACGGUGAGAUGAUUCUUGUAUAUGAUUACAUGGCCAACGGUCCGCUCAGGGGUCACCUGUAUGGAACAGACGAGGCUCCUCUGUCGUGGAAGCAGAGGCUGGAGAUUUGUAUCGGUGCAGCACGAGGAUUGCAUUACCUACACACCGGCGCGGCGCAAGGGAUCAUUCACAGGGAUGUGAAAACCACGAACAUCCUUCUGGACGAGAACUUCGUUGCCAAGGUGGCUGACUUCGGGUUGUCGAAAAUCGGGCCCGCGAAUGAAGUCACGCACGUGAGCACAGCCGUGAAGGGCAGCUUCGGGUACCUGGAUCCCGAGUAUUUCCGCAGACAGCAGCUGACGGAGAAGUCAGACGUGUACUCCUUCGGUGUCGUUCUCAUGGAGGUGCUGUGUGCACGACCGGCAAUCAAUCCGGCCCUUCCUCGAGAGGAGGUGAACUUGGCCGACUGGGCAAUCAAGUACCACAAAGCUGGCAUGCUGGAUAAGAUCGUGGAUGAGAAGCUGCGGGAUACAAUCAACCCCGACUCGUUGAAAACAUUCGGCGACACCGUCGAGAAAUGUCUGCAGGAGCGAGGUAUCGAUCGACCUUCCAUGGGUGACGUCCUGUGGAAUUUGGAGUACGCCUUGCAACUACAUGAAGCAUCUGUGAAGGGCGCCAUGUCCAGCCUUGAUCAAGGGAACUUUAGCACCGACUCUGAUAACAGCCACAUGAUCUCCGUGCCGUUGGUUGCACCCAACCUUUUCGAUGACUCGUUGACGAUGGACAUAGAACGAAGAAUGCUGGAGGAGACCGCGUCCGAGGACCAAUCGGCGAGCGCCAUAUUCUCUCAGUUGAUCAACGCUCAAGGAAGGUAAAGCACAGACGAUAGGGAGUUGAUAAACCACAAGAUGAAGGAGGCGGCGAGUAUCCAGGAAGGGAUUGUCUGACUGCUGUAGACCGAACAAAUGUAGUUGUAGUUGAUGUGGUUUUUUACAUAAAAAAAUAAUAUUUAUGUAUCGCUUCAUUUGGCUAACUUCGAGUUUGAUUGGCAUUGCGCGAGGUCAUCUGGAGUUUGGGUAGUUCUGGGUUUAUCAACAAAACUCUGUUGGCUUUGUUUGUGUUGUGGACACGUUGUAAUCCGCUUCGUUUGUAAUAUGUGUGUGAGGUGUACAUUACGAAGUUUGUCAUGAAAGUUAAGGUGGUUUCACUGAUUCGAUUCAACGUAGGCGAAGUAGUCAAGAAUCUGUUGGCACAGCAGGGUCCAAUGACUGAGCGUUGGAUGGCUAUCAAUCUCGUGCACCAUCUUGUGAAGUAAAAUGCAGGUUCGAAUAAAAGUCACUGCUGGGGUUGUUUCUGUGUUUAUGUUCCAAUGAGAUAUUAAUAUGCGAGUGCCUGUUGUGGCUCGAUCAUAAGCAUCUUUCAGCAAUGUACCUCACUCAUUGUGGUUUACAUAUUACAGAUCUUCCAACUUUUUUAUCCACAUUUUAAGCAUCUCUUUUUAACACCACCCUCCGCCAAUUUGAGCCUCACAAACUGUUUGGUGCCUAUGCAUCUCGUGUGCUGCAUGUAGGUGUGUGUGAUAUUUUCCGGUGUGCUCUGUGGCAUGGAAAUGGCUGUACUUGAGACUGUAGCAGGUUGUGUUGAUUGUUCUCUUUGGGAGCUGCCCGUCGGCCGAAGACAGAAUACGGGGCAUUUUGAUCGCUCCAAAAGGAAGCAUCGAAGGGAAGGGCAUUGCUCCAACGACGCAAGUCUCUGGAUUAUCAGAUUCCACAAACACACCUGAUGAAGUCACAGACGAGGCUGGCACUCUUGUUGGACACGGAUUUUGUGUCCUGAAACUAAAGGUAGGCAUGGCAGACUUUGAUGAACUUCGGUUGAAGUAAUGAUCUACGAACAGGAUCUGUACGAGGCAGAGUCCUGUCCACACUAUUCACAUUUGGAACAGGUAUGGGGCUCACAACCCAAUGACAUCAGCAGACCAACGGCAUGAUGUUUUGUUGAAUGUAGAUGCUCAGCCGACGCAUUUUGUCAGCUGCGGCUUUGGGUGAUUUAAUGCGUUUCUGAUAGGGUAUGGCUACUUGAAUGUCUAUCCAGAUUGGUCGGCGCGCUACUCCACAAUAGGAUGCACCAGUCACACAAUCAGUUAGAGAGGGUGUAGGAGCUGAUGGAAAGGUCUGAGCAGACGCAAUUCGGAAGGGGUCUCACUAACAGGCCACUGAGUUUGCAAAUCUUGUUAAGGAGUGCGACAUAGAAUAUUUAGAGGUACGGAAUCGAACACUUGAUCAUAAGAUGGUCGUUCACUGCAGCAGCACACAUGUUAAGAAGACUCCACCGCAAAGAAAGUACAAUUGUUGUCGGUAGUUAAUGUCAGAGUCGUUUGCAUUAACAAUUAUUUCCCGAGACUCCAGCAAACGUAUAUAAAUCUACUCUUUGACAUCCUUUAUUCGAGUUACUUCGUGCGAAUCAGCGAUGCGUAAUUUAUGUUACUAUCUCCUCUGCACAAGAGCAAUAGUUUCAUUGUUUUAUACUGGAGUGUUAGCAAUGUUCGCUUUUUAAACUUAUUGGAAAGCCUGGAAAUUUCAUGAUACUCGCAAUGUGUACGGGCAUGGAUUUCAGGUGGAUAGCACUUAUCACCAUGUGUAAUCUGAAGCAGUUAUGUCAGUUUUGAGAGAGCAUAUUCGUUUCAGAGGACUUCCUCAAAUUUUUCUCAGGGUGUGGCAUUGUGCAGGAAUAUGUUAAGAUCUCAAAAGAUAUACCGAGAUUUUGUAAGGAGAGUGGGAUACCUAUUGCUUUAGAUGAAAGCGUUGACGAGGAUACAUCGUUCUGGAGUGAAAUGCUUGAAAGAAUUGCAUCAGAGGGCGUAAUGGCUGUUGUAAUUUUUCCUGGUCGCGUGGGAUCGUUUGAACAAGCUGUGUCAUUGCGGAGUGGGCACAUAGCCGAGGCAUAGUAGCUGUUAUCAGCUCAGAUAUGAAAACAAAUAUUGGUUUAACUGCUUAUGCCCAUCUAGUUACUUCUGGUGAUGGAAGGUGUCUAUGGACGCACACAUCGAAUCAACAGAAAACCUCACGGGAUGGUGCUAUUACGCAUGGGCUGGGUACUUACAAGUGGUCUGUUGGAGACCAGUGAGAGGAAGGGGAUCGUAAAAGUUUUACACUCAUGCACAGUGGACAAUGAAGAGGGCCGCGAAUUGACCGAAGGCUGCUGGGAGUGUGUAACAACCACAACGGCGGGCACUAUUUUGAAUGAAUGGAACUCACUUGCUCCAGAUGUUCACCAGCACUGCUUCCACCACGCUGAUGAAUGGUAUUGGUGCCCUUCUCUGUGAGUAAUGUUUACUUUGGUAAUGUUAGGAUUUUGGUAUUGAAGCACUUUGUGGUCUUUCAGUGAUCUUUCAGCUCCUCCACGUCGUUAAUCCAACUCCACCAUCUUUCGGUUUUGACAGAUGUAUGCUCGCCUGGAUCUCCAGCGAUUCGAUCAAUGCGCGUGUCUGCAUAUCCGACGCCCGAGAAGUACCAUUCUGGGCACGGUAUGAUUGUUUUGGUCACAGUAGAUGCUAUUGAAAAUCCAGCCAUUUGCGAGGAUGAGAGAAAUGAACCGAACCCACCUUCAUGUAUCACCUGAGCAACAGCACUCCCAAGAUUCCCUUCACUAAUUUCUAUCGUUGAAACAGUGCCAAUACUUGCUUCCAAUAUGUAAACGAUAGAAGAAAAAAAAUCCACGUAUCUCAAUGCUGAAUAUAAGACUUCAGAACAAAAACGUGACUUUCACACAUAGGAAACUGAAUUGCAUUAUUCCCAUCGGCAAAUUUACAUUUUUCAUGGAAGAUUUUGAGAAAACUUUGAGAUAGUAGCAAAAUCUUUUUGCUCUAUAUUAUCUCCUACAUGGGUCACAAAAAAUUUGCUAAAUUCCAUGUCACAUUCAACCUGGAAGCAUUCGAAGGGAUGGGGGGGAGAUUCUGACGAAAGCAGCAGUGGCUCCGCCUACUCCGUCGACUCGGUCGCGGGAGGCGCACCCCAUGACCGCGAGCACAUGAGCCCCAUUAACUUUGCGCACAUUACGGCACGGUAACAGGAAUCCCACCUUAGAGGCAGACGCCGGUAACAGCGGUGAAGGGGGGGAGAGCGGGACUGGCGAGGAAUGGGGAUUCAUCCAGCUUCAUCGUCAUCGCCGAGCUGAAGCAACUGCACAACCAGCUGUGUUGCUGCUGUUCGAUGCUGGGCAGGACAACCACGCAGCUCACCUGCCUGCCUGUUGAUCUUUUGCUAGGCCCCUCCGAAACCCCGUCCGUCCGUAUCCCGUCAAUGGUCACUUGCACUUGUGUGAAGCCAUAGCCACUGACGCCGUCGCCGCUGCUGCUGCUGCUGCUGCUGCUGAUGGUGUGACCGAUCAAAUGGUUUCGUGACAGUGCCACAGCCCAGGUACUUCGGAUCUUUCCUUUCGACUUACAUUUGGGUUUCAAUCGGUGGAAGGACUGUAUGCGGAGAGCGCGUUUACCGUAUCGAGACUGUGGGGGGUUGUGUUUAGUAACCGGGUGGGUCUCAGAGUGAUCUAUGAGGACUGGGAUGGAGGUCGGAUAUGGCUCCGUGAGGUGAGAAUGCCGGUAUUGUAGCUUAUAUUUGUGCCUGUCAGGGUUGGAAACGAGGGUUAAGGGUUUCGUAUUUGUGUGUGUGUGUGUGUGUGUUUCGGAGAGCUGCCCGGAGGCGACGGGGUGUCGUGUUUCGCUUGAAGCCUUACAAUGUUCGCUUCAGCUCUUCGGUAGAGCAUAUGGGUCAUGAUGGAAGUGAGGAAGGGUUCCCAGAGUUCACCACGAUUGUUUCUUGACCAUAGUGAUACCCUCAAAUGCUUCGCCGCGACUGCGAGGGGCUGGUUGUGGAACAGUAGGUUAGAGAAUGUGUCUUGUAAUGCAUGCGAUAGGCCACAUUCAUUUGCCAUUCACGAUACGACAAUGGCUGGCAUCGUCUGGUGUCUCGGAGAGUGCUUUGUACUGUUCGUAAACGAUUUUGGCCCGUGCGUUAUCAUUGAAAUGCUCACUUGUACUCUGCUUUAGCGGUUCUUAUAGUCAUCUGCUCAGUGUCGUUUUCUUAAACCAGGGCAAAAAUGCCUGCAACCUAGAUGGUUGAUCCUGCGAACUUAACUAUGUCCAGCGUUGCAAGCCUCGGUUUUAUGUGUUUUGGACCAGUGUGCUUGUUCUUCCUUGUUCCGAGUCAGACAACCUUCCUAGUCGGAAUGUUAACAUUUCUAUCACACACUGAAUUCUGUGGUAGUAGCGUCCAUGCCGAAUGAAGUGGACUUGUAACAUCAGCUGAAAUAUUCGUUGUAAAAUCUGCACCCGAUUCUUCUCGGCUAUUUGGAUGAAACGAGGGUGACCUAGACUCUGAAUGUGCAGGAGUCUUGUUCAUGUGAUAACUGCAGUUUUGGGUUGUUUCUCGUGCUACAAAUGAUCUGUUACUGAAGCAAGCCAGCUGUUUCAGUUCGGAGUAAUUGGUGAUCAAGGUGAUGAGGCGGAAUUCUAACGCCUUGUAUGGCUGCAGAUCCAGGUGUAGUAACGAGUUCUGCACCGUAGAGACGGUGUGAUGUAAGCAACCAGGGGUUGGUAUUUUCCGGUCGACAGAGUUGUAAGAGGAGAAUUACAGAGAUACUCGGAUACAUUUGAGAAGCAAUCGGAGGCGUGGUUCUGACCACGCCAAAUCAGACAUUCAGAGCAGCUCUGGUGCUCCACGGAAAGGACAUAUCAGGGAAAAUGGGCUAUGACAGAUGUAUACAGAUUCUAUCGGUUCUUCUUUUGUGCGGGGCGAGUUGGGCGCAGGGUCCUGUAGCGGCGCCAGCCCCGUCUUUUACACCUGCUGAUGCAAUUCGUAUCGCGUGUGGCUCAGCCUCCGAUGUCAAAAUUGGCACACGGGUAUUUGCAGCUGACAAUGUUCCAGGAACAAUAAAAGGAAUUGCGGGAACGACUCUUCAGAAUAACGGUGCUUUGUCGGCGUACGCUCCACUUCUCACCUCUGCGAGGUUCUUCACUGCUGGAUCUAAUUACACUUUCACAGUGAGUCCAGGGAGACAUUGGGUUCGCCUGUUCUUCUAUCCAUUUGCGUUCUCAUCUUUCCAGCCAAGUAAUUCAUUCUUUGACUUGACUGCCAACGAGUUCGGUCUUCUCUCCAACUUCAGCGCAGUGACCUUCGUCACCGCAGACAGCCCUUAUUUUGUUCGAGAGUACAUCCUGAACAUUACUUCAAAGGAACUCGUUCUUACUUUCAUUCCACGGCCAAGUUCGUAUGCUUUCAUAAACGCCAUAGAGAUUGUGUCUGCGCCAGAUGGAAUGGUGCAGGAUGGCGCGACUAUACUGGGUGGAAGCUCUGUCGGUAACUUUGGCCUGAGCCGGUCGGCCCUGGAGACUAUGCACCGUAUCAAUGUUGGGGGAGUCACCGUCACACCGGAUGCUGAUUCAGCGAACAUGAGCAGGACGUGGAUUCCAGAUAGUCCGUAUUUAAUUUUUGGAGCCACAGGCAAAACCGAGUAUACCCAAACUCAAGAUAUCACGUACACCAAUGUUCCUCAGUAAGUUGCAGCUUGCCCUCGCAUGAUCAUGUUACAGGCCUUUUCAUUAUAGCUGAGUUCCCAGUAUCUUUGAUUUGUAUCAGUAUGGUGUAGAAGUUUCUAGAGUUGGAAAUAUGAGCCACUAACUCUGACGGUUGUGAUUUCUUUCUUGCCGGAUGAAGAUAUAUUGCUCCUGCUGCCGUUUAUGCGUCUGCGCUUACAUUAUCAGGCAGUGAUGUGGUGAACGUCAAUUACCAACUCAACUGGAAUUUCACAGUGGACCCCGCCUUCGCGUACUUAGUGCGUUUUCACUUAUGCGAGAUUGUGUACCAGCGGCUCAAUGAGCGUGUUUUCAAUAUUUACAUCAACAACCAGGUCGCUUUUCCAGAUCUGGAUAUAAUCGCUAAAACCACUACUCCCCUCACUCCCUUGUACAUGGACUUCAUGGUGCCCAUGUUCAAUAACUAUCCAGAAAUAAAUGUUAUGAUCGAAUCGAGCAAGACUGCUCAAAAUUACAAGAAUGCUAUAUUGAAUGGUCUGGAGAUUUUCAAGGUCAACAACUCUCGCUCCAGUCUUGCAGGCCCCAAUCGUGUUGUAGUGCCAGAUAAUUCCACUGAUGGUACACAAACUACAAAUUCAAGCUCGAGCUCCAACUUAGGUGCCAUCAUCGGUGCGUCCAUCGGGGGCGUAGCCGCUGUUCUUGUGGCGGCUGCGUUGGUCAUCUUUUGUUGCUACAAGAAGAAGACCAAGUCUGACAAGCCUGGCGCACCAAGUCAUUGGCUCCCGCUGCCUCUGCACGGCAGCAGUACUGACCACAGCAAAGUGUCGACUAGUUCGGCGAAGAGUGGGAAGAGUGGUGCAGGAAGUUAUGUUUCUUCAGUUCCAUCCAACCUGGGCAGGUACUUCAGCUUCGCGGAGCUCCAAGAAGCCACGAACAACUUCGACGAGUCUUUGGUUUUGGGAGUGGGUGGAUUCGGCAAGGUGUACAAGGGUGAGAUUGACGAUGGGUCGAAAGUGGCGGUGAAGCGGGGAAACCCCAGGUCAGAGCAGGGUCUAAACGAGUUCCAAACCGAGAUAGAGCUUCUGUCGAAACUCCGACAUCGGCACCUGGUGUCACUGAUAGGGUACUGCGAGGAACACGGUGAGAUGAUUCUUGUAUACGAUUACAUGGCCAACGGUCCGCUCAGGGGUCACCUGUACGGAACAGACGAGGCUCCUCUGUCGUGGAAGCAGAGGCUGGAGAUUUGUAUCGGUGCAGCACGAGGAUUGCAUUACCUACACACCGGCGCGGCGCAAGGGAUCAUUCACAGGGAUGUGAAAACCACGAACAUCCUUCUGGACGAGAACUUCGUUGCCAAGGUGGCUGACUUCGGGUUGUCGAAAAUCGGGCCCGCGAAUGAAGUCACGCACGUGAGCACAGCCGUGAAGGGCAGCUUCGGGUAC
rnacentral:lncRNA from 1 species